UGUGCGAGACUGUGAAACGCAUUAAUAAAUUAAACAAUUAUUUUACGCUCGCGUUGUUGUUGCUGUUAUAAAGUCAACAAAAGCGUCAGCUUAUCCGAAGCUGAGCUUAAAAAAUACGAGAAAAAACAAAGAACGCUAAAUGCGAGAACAAAGCGUUAUAAAAGACGCGGCCGGUCGUUCGUCUCAGUUGCUCUGCCUUGCCUGCCUGUUUAUCCGCAGGCCUAUUGUUUUUGAACAACUGCAUACGUCGGAAAUGAUUACGUGGGUUGUGUAGCAUAUUGGGCGGAGGGGUUAGGCAAGACGGGGGCUAGCGGCAUUUGUGUCUUCGUCAUCGGCUCAUGUUGCACAUGGCCGCAUGUGUUGCAUACAGCAGCAGCAGCCGUCUGAGACGCUCGAAGUUACCCCAACUGCUCGAUAAGCGGCGAAUCUGUUUAUGCUCUCUUGCUUACGCUCUCGUUUAGUGCUGCUCCACGAGUUUGUCCUGGUGAGCGUGUUUUGUGAGUUUUUCGGCGAACUUGCGAACUUUGCGCCGCUCUUCGCUUUAGUCAGCGGCAAAGCGCUCCUGCGAUUUCAGUUGACAAAAGUUCCUUGCGCUGUGCGGACAUUUAAGCCUUCACGUUUUUCGUAAUCGCUGUCGUCAUAUCGUCACGCGCCGUUACUUUAGUCGUGCCGUCUUUGAGUGUGUGUGUGUAGUGUUCUAAGCCAUAUCGGGUUCAUAGAAAAUGUACAAAACUUAAACAAAAUCAGUGCACAAAUAAGAAUAAAAAUAAAAGUAA
rnacentral:misc_RNA from 1 species